rnacentral:tRNA from 1 species
AAGGGCUUAGCUUAAUUAAAGUAACUGAUUUGCGUUCAGUUGAUGCGGAAUGAAAUUCUGUAGUCCUUA